rfam:Brachypodium distachyon strain Bd21 chromosome 4, whole genome shotgun sequence.
GGAUGCGAUCAUACCAGCACUAAAGCACCGGAUCCCAUCAGAACUCCGAAGUUAAGCGUGCUUGGUCGAGAGUAGUACUAGGAUGGGUGACCUCCUAGGAAGUCCUCGUGUUGCAUUUG